GGCAUUGUUAUCCUUAGAAGUGGGGGACAAUCCAGGGUAUUUUGGGAUUUAUUGAUAUCACCUUGUUCGACUUGUCCAUUUGCCUCAGUGGUCAACUGGUUGUUGGUGAUUGGUUGGAGUUGUGGGGUAGAAGAGAUCUCUUCUAGGAUUGAUGGAAGAUCCUCUGUGUGCUUGUCGUCCGCCUGAUGUGAAGAAUUGGUUUCUCGGUGAAAUUGGGGGUAGUAUGCGUGUAGGAAACUUGAGAGGUCCGGAGCGACCCUAGUGACUAAGGCUGCUGCUUCCUGGUAAUCCAUUUUGGAGAAGGUAAGGCUAAGAUGUAGGUGGUUCUUUAUGAGGUUUUGCCUUGCUAUUCUUCUCCCCUGAAUCUGAUUCCUAAUAGCCUAAAAAAUUGCGAGGUCCAAGUCCCCACCGUAAUCUGCUUGGUCACUGUCCACUCUAUUGGGGAGGGGAUGUUGAGAAUGUUGGGAUGUGAACCGUAGGUGGUAAUGAUUGGACCCCUGAGAGUUGUAUCGGAGUAUGGCAGUCAACAUUCUCAAACGUAUUAAUGAAGGUAUUAAUUGGAAUGGAGGGUCAAGGGUUACCUGUGCGUGCAUCGAAGUCCAAUACCUUGGUGUUUCCGUUGUUGGUGUGGGGUCCAGCUGAUGUUGUUCCUUCAACGUUUGCAUCUUCUUAGUGGCUCCUCGCAGAAGUGUGUUGCUCUUGUUCACUUCUCAUAGUCUCCGUGAGUCUUCCCUAGGAAUGAUUAUCAAGUGGUUGGUGGGUGCUCUUCUACAUCUAGUAGAUUCAUUUGUUGCUCUUGUACUUUCUUGCGGGAUUCUUUCCUGUGCGCUACCUAUUGGUCCUGCUACUGUUUGACUGGCAAUUGAUGUACCCUUCAAUGGUGCUAUGGCCCGACCGACUAAAAACUUUUGGUCCAUUUUGAUGAAAAGGCGCAAAAUUGGUGUAAAAUGUUUGGCUAAGGAUACACUACACUGGUGCGAGUGCAUUGCUGUAUUGUGUCAUGUAUUCUAGCUCUAGAUCUGCGAGAUUCAGGCAUGGACUGCGGGCUCAACCGUCGCUAUGGGGUUCGGAGAUAAAGUCUUUGUUGCUGAAGCACUACGGUCUUGUGUCAAUUGUGGCGAUCCGGCUACGGAGUGUGCACACCAGGGACAAGGACUUCAUCCUGGAGUUCUUCCUCUUGAUGGAUUGUGUGGAGAGCGAGAAGCAGCAGCAGAUGCUGAGCUCGCUGUUGAUCACAAUGCAACACAUCUGUCAGAGUCUGCUGACUUUGAGCGAUAGGGAGCAAAGGGAGAGCUGCGCAUCAACGCGCUGACAGCCGACCUGUUGUCUGCAGAGCGGCAGCGGUAGAUGAUCAAGAACAGGGAAUUGGCAGCGCUUUUUAUUAACUCUUCGAUUUAUUACGGGGGUGCGGAGGGAGCAGGGUGCGGAGUGAUUGCUUGAUCAAAACAAUUCUCUUUCACUUCAUGCGUAACAAAAAGGCGGAUUCAACACACAAUAUUCGCUUCUAUCCACAUUCCUAGAAAUCCGGAUCUAGGUCCAGGAGUGCGGCUCUGAAUUUCACGGAGCCCCCCUUCAGCCGAGUCCAAGGCAAUUAUCCAAUUUUGCAGCCAUCAACAUCUUGGUCUGUCUCGGCAGCAAAGUGGUUUUUCCAAUCCCAUGAAAGAAGUAUUGGCGGCUUCGUAGAGGUGCUACAUUGUCGAUUUCACAUUCGACCUUAGCUUUGACUGCAUGUCAGGAGAAUUCUAGGGCGAGUUUUUUCGGGAAAAAUUGUUCAUCUGAAGUUGUCUGUGAGCAGAAUCACCGUGCUCACCUGAGACACCGCACGCACAUAGUGUCGAACAAGUGGCAAAUUGUAGCACACGUUCUCAACUCCGCAAUGACUACCCGGGAAUUCGACGAGAUUGUUCGCAGACUUCGCAAAGAUGCACUUGGGACACCAGUUUCCAAGCUAAGGGCCUCGAUGAUAUACUCGUCCAUUCAGUACCAAAAUUCAUGUGCCAAAAUGCCACAAACCCUUUUCUCUCAAUGAAAUGACAUCUUCCCUAAUGCA